GACAGAGGUGCCGAGCGUUAUGCGGAAUCACUGGGCUUAAAGCGUGUGUAGGCGGGUGCCUAAGUACCUUGUGAAAUCCCACGGCUCAACCGUGGAACUGCUUGGUAUACUGGGUAUCUUGAGCCACUUAGGGGCAACCGGAACAAACGGUGGAGCGGUGAAAUGCGUAGAUAUCGUGUGGAACGCCAAUGGUGAGAACAGGUUGCUGGGAGUGUGCUGACGCUGAGACACGAAAGCCAGGGGAGCAAACGGG
rnacentral:rRNA from 1 species